UACGGAGGGUGCAAGCGUUAUCCGGAUUUACUGGGUUUAAAGGGUGCGUAGGUGGGUAGGUAAGUCAGUGGUGAAAUCUUCGAGCUUAACUCGGAAACUGCCAUUGAUACUAUUUAUCUUGAAUACUUUGGAGGUAAGCGGAAUAUGUCAUGUAGCGGUGAAAUGCUUAGAAUAUGACAUAGAACACCAAUUGCGAAGGCAGCUUACUACACAGUUAUUGACACUGAGGCACGAAAGCGUGGGGAUCAAACAGG
rnacentral:rRNA from 1 species